GGGAAGGUGGCUCAGUGGUAGAGUGCUUGCCUUGCAUGCAUGAAGCCCUGGGUUCGAUUCCCAGCUCCA
rnacentral:tRNA from 1 species